rnacentral:rRNA from 1 species
ACAUAAGACAUGCAAGUGAACGGAUUAACCAUAGUUUACUAUUGAGCGGUUAGUGGCGGACUGGUGAGUAACACGUAAGCGAACCUAGCCUAUCAGAGGGGAACGAACAGUUAGAAAUGACUGCUAAUACCGCAUAUACCUAAGCAUCGCAUGAUGCAAUAGGAAAGGAGCAAUCCGCUGAUAGAUGGGCUUGCGUCUGAUUAGAUAGUUGGUGGGGUAAUGGCCUACCAAGUCGACGAUCAGUAGCCGGACUGAGAGGUUAAACGGCCACAUUGGGACUGAGAUACGGCCCAGACUCCUACGGGAGGCAGCAGUCGGGAAUAUUGCGCAAUGGAGGAAACUCUGACGCAGUGACGCCGCGUGCAGGAAGAAGGUUUUCGGAUUGUAAACUGCUUUAGACAGGGAAGAAACAAGACAGUACCUGUAGAAUAAGCUCCGGCUAACUACGUG